UUCGGCUUGCGUAACUGGCGAUCAGGUGGAGCACCACCGGGGAGCGCAGGCCAAUCAACGCCGCAUCGCCUGGGCAUCCCUC
rnacentral:ncRNA from 2 species